GCAAUCGUUGCCUAGCCUGGUACGGCGCUGGUCUGCUAAACCAGUAUCCUACGGAUGCGUGGGUUCGAAUCCCACCGAUUGCG
rnacentral:tRNA from 1 species